AUGCUUUCAUUCUUCUUUAUCACACUUUCAAUGAAAUCCAGGGAUAAAACAUGCCCAGCUACUUUUGCCAGAUCACCAGUAAAGCGACCUAUACCGGCUCCAAGCUCCAAGAUAGAUUUUCCUUCAAAAGGCGGUAGCAGGGAAAGGAUCUCAGGCCUCUCCUCCUUGUCGAGAUCCGACGCCUGCGAAUCCAGCAUCAUCGCCUCCACCGUCAGCUCCUUGGAAUGCUCGAUCCAGUAGCUCUUCUGCACCACCCGCUCCUCCUCGCCGUGCGCAAUGGACGCCAUUGUUGUUCAAUUAGGGUUAGGGUUUGCUAGGGCUAAGAACCCUCGAUUGCGAGCCGAGAUCUGGAGAAAGACCUUGAUCUACGGUUAGUCGAACUCCCCUUCUGUUGCAUUAAACUCCCUCUCUUUCAGAUCUG
rnacentral:misc_RNA from 1 species